AAAGAACAAUAGUUGCUUAGCUGCAAAACGAAGAAAACAGAUUGUUAAUAAGUUAUUUAAGUAGAUUCAGCCUAUCACCUUAUUCCUGAACUAAACUAAUAAAAUCAUUUUAUCAUAAUACAAUCAUAAGUAAACAUAUGAUUUAAUUUUAGAAUGCGUUUGUCUAACUUAAAAACUAAUUAAACUAGCUUUUCAUUUUAGUGCUUGUAAGUCAUGUUUUUAUAAGUUAAUUUAAUCAAAUAUUUU
rnacentral:misc_RNA from 1 species